AUGAAGUCACAGACCCAGGUCCUCAUAUCCCUGCUGCUUUUGGUGUCUGGUGCCUGUGCAGACAUCGUGAUGACUCAGUCUCCAUCCUCCCUGGCUGUAUCAACAGGAGAGAAGGUCACCAUAAGCUGCAUGUCCAGUCAAAGUCUUUAUUACAGUGGCAACCAAAAGAACUACUUGUCCUGGCACCAGCAGAAACCAGGGCAAUCCCCUAAGCUGCUGAUCUACCGGCCAUCGACUCAGCACACUGGGGUCCCUGAUCGCUUCACAGGCAGUGGAUCUGGGACAGAUUUCACUUUCUCGAUCAGCAGUGUGCAAGAUGAUGAUCUGGCAGUUUAUUACUGUCAGCAGGGUAUUAGUGAUACUCCCACAGUGAUUCAGCUUUCAACACAAACCUUCAGAGUCUCACCAGCUGCCUGCACCACACACAGCCCUAUGCUGCACACUUCCACUUUUUGCCUGAUAGAAGGUGUGCCUGAAAAAGUGAUGAAAAAUUUUAAAUCCCAGUACCCCAGUACAAAAUUGUCAGUUCUCUUAUCCCUUUUGGUAUGA